AAAACCUCUAUUUCUUCCUCUUUGAAUUCUUCUAAGCCAAAGGCGUUUCAUAAAUAGGCGUUUCUCAAUUUCUCUAUUUCUUCCCCCCUCUCCCUAAUCAUAAAAAAAAGGCGUUUCAUUUAUUUAUGUAAGGCAAUCACCACAUCACAAGGGGAUCAUUAAUCUCCUAAUCUCUUUAAUCAUUAAUUAAGAGAUUUCAAAGAGCCCAUCGUCUUCUCCAAAAUAUUUCUCCCAAAUUUGCUACUAUUUGAAUUCACUCAGCGUUACUCACUCAAAAUUAUACUCCAUCUUCUCAAAAAAUCUUCUCCACAAUUCAUCCAAUCAGCAGAAAGGGCAGAUAACUUUUCAAAGCAGGUGCUUCAUCCAUGGCUGCAAACGCAUUUUGCCCACAAAUUGGAAGGUGCUUCUGUCUAUCUCUCUCUCUAUUUCAUUCGAUAGCCCAAAUUUGGGAGGUGCUUCAUCCAUGGCUGCAAUCGUCUUUUCCCCACAACUACAGAUCCAUGAAUCAAGGUAAGUAAUUGGGAGUGAUAGAUUUGGAAAGGCUAAUCUGGCGAUUUCAUCCUUCCUAUAUAAUAGUAUGUUAAUUUCUGUAAUUUUUUCGAUGACGAAGAUAAAGUUGUAACAGUUGACGCCAUUGUAAACCCUAUCGAUCUCAUCAGUUUCAGUGAUUGAUCCGUCGUUAGAGCUCCUAUCCUGCUGCUUCAUCUAUGGUUGUAUCGUUCAUCAACAUCUCUUACAGAUUCAUGAAUCAAUGCUUGGGGUCACAGACUCCCCUAAGCUACUCGAGCUAUAGACGCCGACGAGAGAAAAAUAAUUGUUCAUCAAUGCCUACGCAAACAAUUCCAGUUUUCUGUUAGUUUUUAUUUACUAAUAUCUAUAGAUAUUGUGGUUCAAGUGUGAUCUUUUAAAUUGUGAUGUGGUUGUCAGUCAAUGAAAUAACUAGAAACUAGCAAAUAGUUUCUGCAGUUUGAUUAAGUAUUCUAUUUCUUCGUAUCCAAAGAGGAUAUCGUUUCUGAAAAAGAAAGAGCACACCCAGAGGAAUUUUGUAUCCACCUUUGUACAGAAAGCAUUGUGUUUGGUCUCAUUAUGCAUUGUAGUCUGGGUGAAUUUUAACAAGGAAAGGCUAAAAUUCCUCAUAUCACCAUGUUCUUCUAUUUUUGUUGAAAUCUUAGGAAUAUUUAUUUAUGUUAAAAGGCACAUGAAUGUGCUUUCUGAUUGUGCUAUGCUUCAUUGAGUUUUUCCUGGCAAUACAGGGAAAGUUUCCACUGCAGCCACUUUAUCAACUGCAACUGGUGUUCUCGUGAUACCCUUAUAUUGUGCUCUUACACAAUGGUUGACUAAUGCUCUCACUGCAGACUCACUCCAGUCAUUUUGUACAAAUCAAGUGUAUGUUGUCCAUUAAUUAGAAGUACUUCUCAAUCUUGUUUAUCUGUAUUAUUUAACAUUGAUCAUAUAUAGUAGAGAUUGAUAUAUGUUUGUAAUCUAUCUCUUCUUUGCUUAAUACCAACAAGCCAGUGGCUGCUGUUCUGGAA